rnacentral:rRNA from 1 species
UCGCGCUAUUAGAUGAGCCUGCGUCCGAUUACCUAGUUGGUGGGGUAAAGGCCCCCCAAGGCGACGAUCGGUAGCUGGUCUGAGAGGACGAUAAGCCACCCUGGAACUGGACACGGUCCAGACUCCUACGGGAGGCAGCAGUGGGGAAUAUUGGACAAUGGGCGCAAGCCUGAUCCACCAAUGCCCCGUGUGUGAAGAAGGCCUGCGGGUUGUAAAGCACUUUAAGCAUGGAAGAAUGGGCUAAGGUUAAUACCCUUGGACAGUGACUUUACCUGCAGAAUAAGCACCGGCUAACUCCGUGCCACCAGCCGCGGUAAUACGGAGGGUGCGAGCGUUAAUCGGAAUUACUGGGCGUAAAGCGCGCGUAGGCGGUUGACUAAGUCUGCUGUGAAAGCCCCGGGCUUAACCUGGGAACUGCAGUGGAUACUGGUUGGCUAGAGUAUGGUAGAGGGUAGUGGAAUUUCCGGUGUACCAGUGAAAUGCGUAAAUAUGC